UCAGUAAAGUAUAAUCAAAUUUGGAAGCAUUUAACUAA
rnacentral:sRNA from 1 species